rnacentral:rRNA from 1 species
GAUGAACGCUGGCGGCGUGCCUAAUACAUGCAAGUCGAGCGAACAGACGAGGAGCUUGCUCCUCUGACGUUAGCGGCGGACGGGUGAGUAACACGUGGAUAACCUACCUAUAAGACUUGGAUAACUUCGGGAAACCGGAUCUAAUACCGGAUAAUAUAUUCAACCGCAUGGUUCAAUAGUGAAAGACGGUUUUGCUGUCACUUAUAGAUGGAUCCGCGCCGCAUUAGCUAGUUGGUAAGGUAACGGCCUACCAAGGCGACGAUGCGUAGCCGACCUGAGAGGGUGAUCGGCCACACUGGAACUGAGACACGGUCCAGACUCCUACGGGAGGCAGCAGUAGGGAAUCUUCCGCAAUGGGCGAAAGCCUGACGGAGCAACGCCGCGUGAGUGAUGAAGGUCUUCGGAUCGUAAAACUCUGUUAUUAGGGAAGAACAAAUGUGUAAGUAACUAUGCACGUCUUGACGGUACCUAAUCAGAAAGCCACGGCUAACUACGUG